UACGUAGGGAGCAAGCGUUGUCCGGAAUCAUUGGGCGUAAAGCGCGCGUAGGCGGCCUCAUAAGUCCGUUGUGAAAGUCAAAGGCUCAACCUUUGAAAGCCGAUGGAUACUGUGAGGCUAGAGUCCGGAAGAGGCGAGUGGAAUUCCUGGUGUAGCGGUGGAAUGCGCAGAUAUCAGGAGGAACACCAAUAGCGAAGGCAGCUCGCUGGGACGGUACUGACGCUAAGGCGCGAAAGCGUGGGUAGCAAACAGG
rnacentral:rRNA from 1 species